AUUAUUAAUUGAAAAGGUUGACUUGAAAUAUUUAAAACGCCAAGUGAGAGUUUGAAGAUCGAAUUCAUCCAGUGCUCAUUGUUGAGCCAUGGAGUUCCUGGUCUUCUUCUUCCUUCUUCUGCUACCUUCAUUUUCUGCAGCAGAUGGGCAGAGCGGAACUAAGCGGCACUACAUCGUUUACAUGGGACAACAUUUUCAUCCAAACAGUGAAGCUGUGAUCCUUGCAAAUCAUGCAAUUCUUUCAUCUGUGGUCGGCAGCGUGCAUGGGGCUCGAGAGGCUGUGCUGCACCACUACAGCAGGAGCUUCAGAGGCUUCUCUGCUGUUCUAACAUCAGAGCAAGCUCGCAGACUUUCAGAGCACGGAGAGGUGGUAUCAGUUUUUGAAAGCAAGGUGUACCGUGUUCACACAUCGCACUCAUGGGACUUCUUGGGGGUGAGCCAAGGCAGCUUCAGCACAGGCGUCGACUACGCGGCCCAGCAGGAUGUCAUCGUCGGCGUCAUCGACACAGGAAUAUGGCCAGAGUCCAAGAGCUUCAGUGACGCAGGUAUGGGGCCCGUGCCUCAGAGGUUCAAGGGUCAAUGUGUUCCUGGACAGGAUUUUACCUUAGCCAAUUGCAACAGGAAGAUCAUAGGUGCCCGCUAUUACUACAAGGGAUUUGAGAAAGAUAUUGGACAUCUUGAAUCCGUCGGCGAACUUUUCUAUCUCUCUGCCCGGGACGCCGACGGCCAUGGUACGCACACUGCCUCCACCGCCGCCGGAGCCAUAGUUACUGAUGCUAGCUUCAUGGGAUUAGCCAAUGGGACUGCAAGAGGUGGGGCUCCUGCUGCCAGGCUCGCCAUUUACAAGGCUUGCUGGUUCGGCUGGUGCAGUGGUGUGGAUCUGCUUGCUGCCUUCGACGACGCCAUCGGCGAUGGAGUUGACAUCAUAUCAGUAUCAGCAGCACCGGAUCCACCACAGCCAAGCGUCUUUAGAGAUGCAUUCUCCAUUGGGGGCUUCCAUGCAUUUUUGAAAGGGAUCCUUGUGUGUGUUUCAGCGGGGAACCAGGGCCCCCUACCUGGUAGUGCUACCAACGUUGCUCCAUGGCUUUUUACUGUUGCAGCUAGCUCUAUAGACCGAAGAUUUGAAGCCGAACUAGUUCUUGGCGACCAGGUUGUUUUGAAGGGUGAAUCACUAGCCCCUGCAGGGCUGAAUGAGUUUCAUGAUCUGAUUGAUGCAAGAAAUGCAGCAGCACCUGGAAUUCCUGCUGCCAAUGCAAGCUUUUGCUUGAAGAACUCUUUGGAUCCUAAUGUGGUGACUGGGAAGAUUGUCUUGUGCGCGAUUGAUACAACAGGCAACCACAGCAGCAGUAGAAUAAUGAAGAGCAUUGUUGUUCAACAGAAUGGGGGUGUGGGAAUUGUCCUCUUCGAUCCCUUCUUUAAAGAUUUGGCAAUUCCAUAUGUUAUACCCGCAACAGUAAUCGGAGAGGGGCAAUACCAGCAAGUUCUCCAGUACAUGGCCACUCAAGGGAGGCCUAUUGCAACAAUUCGGCCGCCUGUAAGUGUUCUACGAGUUGAACCAGCGCCACAGAUAGCUGCAUUUUCUUCAAGGGGUCCUAACACCAUGAAUCCUGAUAUCAUCAAGCCUGAUAUUACAGCUCCAGGAUUAAACAUCUUAGCAGCAUGGUCUCCAGUAGCAGUGAGUGGUUCCGGUGGAAGACCUGCAGACUUCAAUAUAAUCUCCGGAACUUCCAUGUCCUGCCCUCAUGUAUCUGGCGCCGCAGCACUCAUAAAAUCUCAGCACCCUUCAUGGAGUCCUGCAGCUAUUAAGUCUGCCUUAAUGACAACAGGCAUGCAAGGAAUUCAGACAAUCCGGAUGAUGGGUGCACUUUCAGGUUCACAAAUUCGUCCAGGUGCAGCUGCUGCACAUCUUCCACCAAGACCUGCUCAGCAGCAACUGAAACCACAGUCUCCUUCGAGUAACCAACCCUCGGCACCUCAGAAGCAGCAGGGUCCGGGAUUAUCAAGAGUAUCUUCAUUUGGUCCAGGCAAUUCUCAACCACCUAGCAUGCCACAUAGUCCACAGUCCCAUACACAACCAUGGAUGUCAACACAAGGAAGAUCAGUGCCUGCAUCUGUCCUGUCUUCUGCUUCUUACAGACCACAAUUUCGAUCAUCUAUCUUGCAACAAAGAUCAACAAACCCCCAGCAACAGCAGAAUCCUAUGGCAGUUGCACCCCAGCAGCAGCAGCAGCAAAAUGCAUCUUCACAACAACAGCAGCAACAACAACAACAACAACCUCAGCAGCAGCAGCAGCAGCAACAACAACAACAGCCUCAGCAAAACACAUCACAAAUGCAACAUGCUGCAGAAAAUUAUCCUCAAAUGCAUCAACCAUCUCAGAUGCAUCCUGUGUUGCAACCACAGCAAGGGCUGCGACCUCAAGGAUCAAUACAGAAAUCAAUUACUCCACCUAGCGUGCCAUCAGCUCAUCAUGGAUCUCUUGCGCCAACCAAAGCUUCUGAAGCUGUUGAAACAGGCAAUCAAAUUCUUUCCAAGAGAAGCAUCCAUGAGCUACUAGCCCAGAUUGAUCCAUUGGAGAGGUUGGAUCCAGAAGUUGAAGAUGUUAUGGCAGAGAUUGCUGAUGAUUUUGUUGAAUCUAUAACAACUUUUUCUUGUUCCUUGGCCAAACAUCGCAAAUCAACUACAUUAGAAGCAAAAGACAUACUUUUACACAUGGAGAGAAACUGGAAUAUGACACUCCCAGGAUUUAGUGCGGAUGAGAUUAAGAUCUUUAAGAAGCCUCCUGUGAACGAUAUCCACAAGCAACGAAUGGUCGCUGUUCAGGAAGGUCUCCAAUCUCUCUUAAUUACGAUGCUGUGGACAAAACAGGACGUACUAGAACAUUCUCGCAGUACAUUUAGGCAUUUAGUUGAUCCGUGUUCCUCAUUCUUCAAGACCUUAUCAAGAAAUCAUAUAUCACUACUCAGGCUACGGCAGAAACUGCAAAUGUAAAGGGUUCUUCUGGUCAAGUUCCUGGAGAUGUGAAAGGUCAUCCUGGAAAAGGUCCUGCAAUGACCUCUCCCAAGACGUGACGAUAGUUGUCCUGCAAACACUGGAGGAUUCGCUCCAUCAUGUUGGUGUUUCAUGGUGAUGAAAUCGUCUGGUCCCCGAGCUUGGUACUGCUACCGAAGAGCGUGAAGAAAUACACUGGUGCAGCAGCAGGAAGUUGGUAACCAGUGUAGCUUAUGGCUCAGUGGAACGAAUCCUGGUCGAUUCAUCAUAAAGCUUUGAUCACUUGGGGAUGGGCAUCAUGUGGGGAGAAGGAUGGUCACGUCUAGUCGAGCUUGGUGUUGGACUCUAUCCUCUUUGCAGGAUCUCUCCUUUAUGUAGUUUGGUUUGCUAGCUUGUCCUGUAUCCAUUUGGUUAAAAUAGACUGUUUGAAACCAAUGUCCUGGGGGUUUUGAAGUCCAGAUGAAUGGAAAAUUGCACAUUGAGGUGCGUUGAAAAAGUUGCAACUGGCUGAAAAGCAAGUGGCUUCAGAUAAAUAACGGGGGUAUAUUGGUGGCGACUUGUUUUGUUUGUAAGAAUCCUGGAAAAUAGUUCUAUACUAGAUUUGAAU